GCGGGCGUGGCGGAAUGGCAGACGCGCUUGUUUAAGGGGCAAGUGGGAAACCGUGUGGGUUCGACUCCCACCGCCCGCACCA
rnacentral:tRNA from 1 species